ACGGGAGGCAGCAGUCGGGAAUAUUGCGCAAUGGAGGAAACUCUGACGCAGUGACGCCGCGUGCAGGAAGAAGGUUUUCGGAUUGUAAACUGCUUUAGACAGGGAAGAAGAAGUGACAGUACCUGUAGAAUAAGCUCCGGCUAACUACGUGCCAGCAGCCGCGGUAAUACGUAGGGAGCAAGCGUUAUCCGGAUUUAUUGGGUGUAAAGGGUGCGUAGAUGGAUAUACAAGUUGGUUGUGAAAUACCUCGGCUUAACUGAGGAACUGCAACCAAAACUGUAAAUCUUGAGUACUGGAGGGGAAAGCGGAAUUCCUAGUGUAGCGGUGAAAUGCGUAGAUAUUAGGAAGAACACCGGUGGCGAAGGCGGCUUUCUGGACAGAAACUGACAUUGAGGCACGAAAGUGUGGGGAGCAAACAGGAUUAGAUACCCUGGUA
rnacentral:rRNA from 1 species